rnacentral:lncRNA from 1 species
UCACUCUCCUGAACAAGGAUGGCAGCGAGUUCACUGUGAUCGGUCAACGUGUCAAGCGUUACCUAGCUGAUCAAGAGACACCAGAGGGGUCCUCCAUACCUCUCUAUGAGCCUCCCAAAGCCUAAAAGGCAUAAACAGUCAAGCUUAGUGACUUUAAACAAGCUCACUUGGGAGGAAGUCCCAAAGGUAUCCUUGUACAUACUGCCUAGAAUUUUUUGUGUUUUUGAUUUUUGUUUUUGGUUUUGUGUUGUUCAGGAUUUUAAAGAUAUGAGUGAGCAGGAGAUACAGAAUCGAACAUGCUUCAGUGAACAUCUCACUCGACACAACCAAACCACACAUAUCUUAUCCUCACUCCCACCACUCACUCGACC